rnacentral:rRNA from 1 species
AUUGAACGCUGGCGGCAGGCCUAACACAUGCAAGUCGAACGAGUGGCGGACGGGUGAGUAAUGUCUUGGAAACUGCCUGAUGGUGGGGGACAACUACUGGAUAUGGUAUCUCACACCGCCUACCAUCGGAUGUGCCCAGAUGGGAUUAGCUAGUAGGUGGGGUAAAGGCUGACCUAGGCGACGAUCCCGAGCUGGUCUGAGGGGAUGCCCAGCGACACGGCAAAUGAGAAACGGACCAGAAGCCUUCGAGAGGCAGCAGUGGGGAAGAGUGAAGAGUGGGCGAAAGCCAGAUGCAGCCAUGCCGCGUGUGUGAGGAAGGAAUUAGGGUUGUAAAGUACUUUCAGCGUGGAGGCGUUCCACUCAGAAGAAGCACCGGCUAACUCCGUGCUAGCAGCCGCGGUAAUUC